UCUUGCCAAAGGCACCGCUGGGUAGCUAUGUGCGGAAGGGAUAAGUGCUGAAAGCAUCUAAGCAUGAAGCCCCCCUCAAGAUGAGAUUUCCCAUAGCGUUAAGCUAGUAAGAUCCCUGAAAGAUGAUCAGGUUGAUAGGUCAGAGGUGGAAGCACGGUGACGUGUGGAGCUGACUGAUACUAAUCGAUCGAGGACUUAACCAAG
rnacentral:rRNA from 1 species